AAGAGCUCGUAGGUGGUUUGUCGCGUCGUCUGUGAAAUUCCGGGGCUUAACUCCGGGCGUGCAGGCGAUACGGGCAUAACUUGAGUGCUGUAGGGGAGACUGGAAUUCCUGGUGUAGCGGUGAUAUGCGCAGAUAUCAGGAGGAACACCAAUGGCGAAGGCAGGUCUCUGGGCAGUAACUGACGCUGAGGAGCGAAAGCAUGGGUAGCGAACAGGAUUAGAUACCCUAGU
rnacentral:rRNA from 1 species